rnacentral:rRNA from 1 species
UACGAAGGGGGCUAGCGUUGCUCGGAAUUACUGGGCGUAAAGCGUGCGCAGGCGGUUUUGUAAGUUUGUCGUGAAAUCCCCGGGCUCAACCUGGGAAUUGCGAUGAAGACUGCAAGGCUAGAAUCUGGCAGAGGGGGGUAGAAUUCCACGUGUAGCAGUGAAAUGCGUAGAGAUGUGGAGGAACACCGAUGGCGAAGGCAGCCCCCUGGGUCAAGAUUGACGCUCAUGCACGAAAGCGUGGGGAGCAAACGAGG